rnacentral:rRNA from 1 species
GGAUUAGGCAUGCAAGUCGUACGAACCUUCGGGUUAGUGGCGAACGGGUGAGUAACACGUGGGUAACCUGCCUCGUAGUGGGGAAUAACUCGCCGAAAGGCGAGCUAAUACCGCAUAACACCCCUGGUGAGAAUCCAGGCGGUAAAAGCUCCGGCGCUACGAGAGGGGCCCGCGGCCGAUUAGCUAGUUGGUGGGGUAACGGCCUACCAAGGCGACGAUCGGUAGCUGGUCUGAGAGGAUGGUCAGCCACACGGGGACUGAGAUACGGCCCCGACUCCUACGGGAGGCAGCAGCUAAGAAUCUUGCGCAAUGGGCGAAAGCCUGACGGAGCGACACCGCGUGCAGGACGAAGGCCUUCGGGUUGUAAACUGCUGUCACGCUAUAUGAAACCCAGGCCGUUAAUACCGGUCUGGUCGACUAAAGCGAGAGGAAGUGGCGGCUAACUCUGUGCCAGCAGCCGCGGUAAUA